CCCCUCUCAGGAUCGCUCCUGGAGAGUUUCCAGUACUCUACCAGUCUUAGCUACGGGAGGGAGAGUCAAGCAGAGGCAUACCCAUUCCAUUUCUAGCUUGGGCGGUGGCUAGUGAGUGGAAGACAAUCUGCUACAGUC